AUUUUGUUGUUGUUGUUUUCUUUGUCUCUAAGAGCAGAAGUGCCCAGAGUAACGAGUCCACUGGGGACAGGAAUGGCUGUCAUGGAGGUUGGCAUGGAGGACAGGGAGAACAGCUUGAUGUGCAGAGAGAACAUUCCCAGCAUCCCUUGGGAAGACAGCACCGCCUCUGUGGAGGUGGGCAGGACUCUCCCAGCAAGACAAAGGAGGGAUUUUUGCCUGCAGCUCCUGGGAGGAAGUUGGUGAAGCCUUUCCUGUGUGCCAGGUGGCGCCCUAAACCCGGAGUUGGCCCCCUGCAGCCUGCUCACCAGAUCUAGUCCAGCCCCUGUUUUUAUACACAUGACCCAGGAGCUAAGAAAGGUUUUUUUUUGCAUUUUUAAAUGUUUACCACAAAAAAAAAAGAUUAAACAAUUUCAUGACACAUGGAAAUUACUUAAAAUGUAAAUUUCUGUGGCCAUAAUAAAAUCUUA